ACUAACCUUUCAUUUUUACAAUUUUUUCCAGAUUUGAUUAAUAUAACUCCAUUUUUCAAAGCUGUGCUGUAACGUUAUCAAAUGCGAGAUGAAACACUUGACAUUUGUUUACUUAUUUUGAGUAGAAACGUUUGAGUGUUGCAUCUUUCGGUCUUCUUGAAAACAAAAUGGGCUCAUACCUAGUUUGCCAAUACAUGUACAACCUGUCAUCGGGUCAAAUGCUGUCUGAGUGCUUCAUACCCCCGUUCUUAACACACCGAUUUUUUUUUACUGCGGAUUACUCUGUUUACCUGAUCAAAAUAUAGAGCUCUCGGCAGGUGUGACCGUUCGACAAGGGAUGGUUACUCCUCCAAGGCACGUGAUCCCACCUUUGGUAUGUCCAGGGGCGUGUUUGACAAACUCAUAAUUUUAAAUUCCUUAUAGGAGUUUUGAGAUUGAUCACGGACGGUGAGGGUGUACAGUGAGUAGUUUUCAAGUAUUAUUAGGUUGGUUUUUUGUUGGGUUUUUUUUACACAUUCAAUAUUAUCUUCAUCCAUGUUUCAAGAGUAUUUGUCAUGUACGUCUUUUCAAAUGUUUUUUUUUUUUAAGUUAAGAACUUACUAAGACUAUUCUUUUGAACAUUUUGGCGCAUGAUAAAAAAGACUUCAUGCGUUUUCUAGAUAUCAUUUCUGAAAAUGAUCUUAAAAACAGAAUAUUUGAAUGACCUGGGCGACCAACAGAAAUAGAUCAGAAAUGCUAAUUGAGUGAUAUAAAACUGUCCCAGUGUCUUUUAAAUUUGUUUCAGAUGAUGAGUUAUAUUGCUGGAUGUAUCGCUUUGUGACAGAAGCUUGAACACAAAAUGAUUGAACUCUCUUCUAUGAAGAGUCCUGCACAGUGGGCAAUAAUGGGCAUCAGAGAAGAUAUGCUCUCCACCGGUAACUUCUGAAGGAAACUUUGUAAAGCUCGAUGUGACUCGCUGAUAAACACUUUCUCAACCUGUGAAUUUUGAUUUGGUUGAUUAAAUCUUUUUUUUUUCUUCAGAGCAUGAAAGAUAAUUGGUUGUGACUUCCUACUUCACUUCAGUGAAAAUUAUAUUCUUCUAUAAACCUUACUUUAAAAGUUUUUCUUAAGGAUUGUCAAAAAUUGUGUUUAUUGAAUCUGAAAAAUUCAUAUUGUAUUUAGAAACAAUGUCACAAUGUAAGGAAACAAAUUGUAUGAAUAUAUGUAAAAAGCCUCCAUUUAGCUGUCAUGGUGGAUGAAAUUAUGUCUUACCUGUUUGGCACAUUGAAACUUGUUUUCUGGUUUGACCAGACAACAACUAAAACAGAGUAAAGUACAAAAAGGUGAGACAUUAAGAUAUAUGUUCUAGAUAUGUAUACAUGUAUAUGUUAAAGCAAAGACCUAAACGCUUUACGUCUAUGGUUAAAGAUAGGACCACAAUGUCAAAUAGGUUGCAUGAUAACUAAUAUUGUGCAGUCCUGUAUAUACAAAGGAUAUCAUCAUUAUUAUUACAUUUCUGGUAAUUAGCAUAUAAAGGAUAUUAUUUUUACUACAUGUAUUACAUUUCUGGUGAUUAAUAAGUCCUGAUAACUAUUUCUGUCAAUACAUGGAUAAUGAUUUCUAUUUUUGUCAAUACAAAUACAGAACAUGCAGAAUUUU